GAGGCUCACACAAUUAUUAGGCGCAUUGAGAGAACUGUUCAGUAAAAAUUACUAUAAAAUUUUGUGAAGUUGACCCCUGGUCAUUUUUUUUGUAGACAAUUUUACAAAAAGGGUGACCAGAGAGCAACUUUACUAAAUUUUACAGUAAUUUUUCUCAGUCAGUGUUCGGGCUUUUUUGAAUCUUUAAAAGCACAUUCAAAUUCAAAAUGUUUGAAAUUUUAAAAUUUUUUGUUAUACCCAUAUCUUGUUAUGUAUACCAUGUACCAUACAUCAAAUAACUAUAGUGGUGACAUAACACCAAAACCUCUUUUACAAGUUCCUAGUGAAAUUGCGGAAAACGAUGAAAUGGCUAGUUUUCAAGAAUUUGCGAAUAUGAUUUCUAAUUAGUACUGAAAAAACAAAUGAAUUCAAGGGUAAACUUGCUACCGUGGAUUCGACAAGAUCAAAAGAUAGAUGUACUUUACAAGAAAACGGAGCUUUGAAAAAUGAGAUGAUAUUUUAUCGUAAGUUGAUUAAGCAUUUGGCUUGAAAAAAAACUAAAGCAUCGUGUAGACUGUAGAAACAUUCCGAAAUCCGAGAUGAAUAAUUUUUCAAACAAAGAUCCAAUUACAAGGCGUGAUCCACAAUUACGAAGAUAUCUAAAGAAUCAAGAAUACCCUGAAUGAAAGCAUUGAAAAAAUAAUAAUUAAAAAGUGCCUUGGAGGUAUACAAAUACAACCUUUACAUUGAAUGCAACAACUAAAGCAUAGGUUGGGAUCUACCAAUAAACAGUGCUGAACUACAACCCUGGAUUGGUUGUGAAUUAAUAUCUACAUACUUACAAAUUGCUGCUGACUAUCGACAUUGACAUCUUGAAGAACUAAAAACGCCUUCGGAAAUUUCAGCGUCAAAUCUGACAAAACUGGUUUUAGACUUACAAUCUUCUUGAAACGAAACAAUUGUCGUUGAAAAUUUUAAGCAGCAGUGUACAAAGUGGUACCUACUACUGGUUGGGUGGUGAAUCUGCACGCUUUUCGAAUUGGCGAUAAAAGGAAGAAUGCUCUUAAUCGAGGGCCGAUCGGGCAUUAAGGUACCUCAACGUUAUCACGCAUUCAAUUGGGCACCUGUUAGAGACACCCUAAUUUUUUUUUCAUGAACCAAAUGAACGAUACAAAAAAUGUGUUGGAGUAUUCUACUUUGUUUAAAUGGAAUAAUACCUAUUCCAUUUAAACGAAGUAGAAUACUCCAACGCAUUUUUGGUAUUGUUCAUGGUCAGGUAUCAAUUUUCCUAAUGCAGUAAACAACUUUUGAACUAAGUAUAUUAUCUGCAUUAUACAAUAAAGUCAGUGUAACAAUGACUCACCAGCAAUUACCUGUUCCAUCUUGUUUCUGUGCACCAAAUUCGACAGGUUUACUACGAAUUCAUAAAACAAUUAGGUAUAGAUAUUCGACCUGAUGUAACUGAUUAGUUUUUUAAAGUGUGUCAAGUGCUUGGGGUAAUCCAAUUAAACACUAAAAUCACCGAAACAACUCCAGCUCAAACAACAACUUUGUAAAUGUACUUAAUAAGGUAGAUGCAUAUUUCCUUUUCGAGUUUCUUUUCAACACUAUUACAUUUUUUGUUUUAU